rnacentral:rRNA from 1 species
CCUACGGGUGGCAGCAGUGAGGAAUAUUGGUCAAUGGACGAGAGUCUGAACCAGCCAAGUAGCGUGAAGGAUGACUGCCCUAUGGGUUGUAAACUUCUUUUAUAUAGGAAUAAAGUGUGCCACGUGUGGGAUUUUGUAUGUACCAUAUGAAUAAGGAUCGGCUAACUCCGUGCCAGCAGCCGCGGUAAUACGGAGGAUCCGAGCGUUAUCCGGAUUUAUUGGGUUUAAAGGGAGCGUAGGUGGAUUGUUAAGUCAGUUGUGAAAGUUUGCGGCUCAACCGUAAAAUUGCAGUUGAUACUGGCAGUCUUGAGUACAGUAGAGGUGGGCGGAAUUCGUGGUGUAGCGGUGAAAUGCUUAGAUAUCACGAAGAACUCCGAUUGCGAAGGCAGCUUACUGGACUGCAACUGACACUGAGGCUCGAAAGUGUGGGUAUCAAACAGGAUUAGAUACCCGAGUAGUC